AAGUCUAGCUAGGACUUCCUGAGAAUGGAUGUCCUCCAGCUGGAGCGAGGCAAAUCUCCGGGCAGGGUCACUGGGAGUUUCUGAGCAAUAAUUGCUUUCAGGUCACUGAAGGCACAGGUGGUGGGAUGCCCCAGCCUGGAGCUGGUCCCUAGUGACAGUGAUGGGAAAACAUCCCCAUUGUCGGCGCUCACACGCAAGGGUGACAGUGGCGCGUAUGGGGACAUGGCAAGCAAUGACGUGCAGAUGAUACAAUGAGGCAAGAAACCACCAGAUACUCAUUUGGGGACGUGAAUCAUGGUGGUUGUGAACCUAUGCUCUGAGUUCAUAAAGAACACUAGGUUCAGAAACCAAGGCUACCAAUUAGCUCUGUGACCUGUGGCACAUUUAACCUCUCCAAGCUUCUGUCCCCUUAUCAAGAUAAUCCUACCUCACAGCUCAUGAUCGAUAGGAAGAUGAAAGCGAGAAAGUUCUUACAGCGCACGGCCAUAAGGACUGGCACACGCAUUUUCGGUGUGUGUUCUCUUUUCUAUUACUACAGCACACAGCUGCUUUUUGAAGUCUUUCAUAAAGUUCGGAAAACAGUUCUGGGCAGCCAAGCAUGCAGUCAGUUUGGAUCGGAGGCAGAGUAAAUCUGCUUCUUCUGAUGAGACCUGGGAAUGCGUACUCAGGAUGCCAGCAGCUCAGACAUGUAAUAAAAAAAAUUCCCCCUCAACAUGGUAGAAUUUGGAAGUGUCUCCAUUCAUCCUCAGCUGUGCUGUGAGUCAAGCGUUGGGUCAGCGCACCAGGAGCACCUAAGUUCAAUCCCGAUGCAAAAAUCUAAUCAACUCUCAAAGCCGAAGAAUGAGCUGAUGAUUCAGGUUGAAUCUGGACUUCUAUAAGCCACUCUGUGUAGGCAUCACGAAGAGCUAGAGAUACCUGAAGAGGACACCUGCAAGGUGCAGCCUGAAGAGCGACGUCAUGAGGAGAUCACACCAACCAUUCUGUAAGCUACAUGCCUAGGUCACCCCAGGGGAUCAGACUGAGGCUGGAGUGCCCCCCCACAUCGCACCUCCUUUGGCUCCUCUCUCUACCCUGUGGCCCUCAGUCCCUCACGGUCUCAUCUGGAAUCACUUCCUGAAUGAACCUCGAUGCCAAGGCCAGCCUUAGGGCAUCUCGGCCAUCCUGCAGGAGGCUUGAGCUGGGCUCUGACUGGUGCAUGGGAGAAGAACAGGUAAAGAAGGAAUGUGCCAGGAGGGAAGAUGGUAGGAGGAGGGACCACAGGUGCACAGCCUUGUGGGCCAAUAAUGUUGAAGGAAUCAAAGAAACUGGCAGGCAGAAGCCAGUGUGGUGGGGUCUGGAGGCAUCGGGUGUGGAUGAUGUGGGCUGAGGCCUGUGGUUCAGUGGGGCCAUAUUUUCCAGGAUGUUGACGUCUGGCUUCAGAAAUUGGAUCUUUACAUAAAAGCAACGGGAUACCACAGAAGCAGGGAUGAGACAAUCGGGUUUGGAUUUUGAGAAGGCCAAAAUGGCCAGGGUGCAAAGAACAGACUCGAGAUCAGCUGGGAGUUUCUGUGCUCAUCUGGAGGGAGGUGGUGGUUCAGCUGGUACUAAAUGGGCUUGAAAAAUAUUUAAACAAAAAAAAAUAAUAAAAAAUAAAAAAAAAUUUAAACAGCAAGAAAAUGGAAAGUUAUUUUGCCACUCGAAUGAUCAUCUUCCUGUAAAACUUAGGGAAGUCCAGCUUUUUGUAAGAGCAGAUUUCAUGAUACCGGGCUUGUAAAAUGGCCACGAGAAAAAGUUUUCUAGUGAGACAAAGUUGCAAAUUUUAAAUUUUGAUGUAACAAAUGCAAUGAAGAGGCAACAGUUCCCGAAUAUUUCAAAACUUUUAUUUUCAGAGAAUUCUAAGACAAUAGAUGAGAUCUGACAACACAUGUGGCUUUGUGAUUCUAAAAUUAAUUUCACAGUAGGGAGAAACCAUGCACCUGUUUUAGUGAUAUGUACAUAUUCAUUCAAAUAGAAUGAUAUAAAUGUAUACUUCUGAAAUACUCUAAAGAUAUAACCUAAAAAGGGAAAUCUUUAUCAAAUAU